UUUGUUGCGUGGCUGUUAAUGGUGUCUUC
rnacentral:piRNA from 1 species